rnacentral:rRNA from 1 species
GGAUUGGCAAUGGGCGAAGCCUGAUCAGCCAUGCCGCGUGUGUGAAGAAGGCCUUAGGGUUGUAAAGCACUUUCAGUAGGGAGGARCCWRCAGCGUUAAUCCCGCAGUGAGAUGACGAUACCUACAGAAGAAGCUCCGGCNACUCG